AAGCGGCUCCACUGCCAAAUACAGUCAAGAUCUAUGGUCUAACACCAAUACAAACUACAUAGAUUUUACUACUGAUAUGCGACUCUCUAACCAACAACCAUUUUUCUUUCUAUUUGUUGUUGUUUAAUUACAUAUUUUUCAUAUGCUUCGUAAAAUAUCAAAGAGUCGUUAUCUUUGUGCUAGUAACUGUUGGGUAACAUUUAAAAAACUCACAACCACUAUUUGAACUGCCAACUUUUUGAUACCAACCUGUCAUUUUGCGGUGGUUUAAGAUAGUUGCAGACCAUUUUCAAUUUUAAUGUUGAUAUUAAUGACAUCGUCCCUUAACCCACAAACACAGACCUCGCAUUUAGCAAUCCAAAUCAAGCAUUCAUCCAUUAUUAGAACCAGGGCAGCAACAUCAGAGUGACUGUCAAGCAAGCGUCAUCACCAGUGCUUCGAACAGAAUCCAGUGACCAUUUCUUCAUGAAACAGCAAGAAUGUUGUGUAAUCUCUCUCCAGUUGGUUCUCAGGUUACGACAUUAUUUAAUAAACCCAAGACACAAACUUGCACCCAGCAAGACCAAACCCUAACGGGCAGUGAACACAAAAGCAGCAUUGUAGACGCACAUUAGGGCCUAGUUUUUCGUAAGGUUAAAAGUGAUGGUUUUCUCACCUCGGUGGCUGACAAGAUGCUGCCGUUGCUACAUCAGCAGCGAUGGAGUCCAAUUGGGGCAGGCUCAUGGAGAAGGUGGGUGCUGUUGUUGUUGCAGUCUGUUAAAAUAUCGGCUAACUGCUGCAGCGUGACAGGCCGUUCGGUUGCCACUUCCAGACUCAUCCUUCAUUAAGCUCCAGGUACAGUACCGUUCGUGACGGUGUGGCUGACUCUUCCAGUACGUAGGGUUAUGGUUCCGUGAUGCUGCAGUUGCAAAUGAUUCACGUAGAGUCUGGAUCAGAGGAUGUGGCACUCUGGGUUGUUGUGGAUCUUGUAUUUUGAGGGCUUUUAACUUGGUUUAAAGUCUGUGAACGGCAACAGCUGAAAGGCUGCUGCUGUAAAUCCUAAUUCUACCGCGAGCCCCACCUUGGCAGGGCGCACGAUCUCAUUAUUGGAGCGUAGGUGACAUCUGAGCUUCCUGCUGCUAGCCUCACAAUCUUUGAUACUGACUUGCAUGGAGAUGAUGAUCAUUCAACACUUCCCCAUGCCCCGCCAUUGUCGCUGCUCCUUUGCUGUCUUGUCCCCGGAUCCUGAGGGGUCUCUCCUUUGAUCCACCGGCACUAUGUCAUUGUCGUCGAGGGUGGCUUCCAGACACUAUCGUGGAAAGUUCUCCUUCAAUUUGCUUAAUGUUCGAUUAUAUAUAUAUUUAAAACACAUGAAUAAAAUAUCGAGCAUGAUUCGAGCUAGCAGCUAA